rnacentral:rRNA from 1 species
GUUAAGCCCCAGCCCGUGUCUAUCCAGAAAGACUACUCAACUUCUCUGAUGUCCCACGAACAGAACCAGCCCGCUCACCUCUCUCUCUCCCCCAAGAACAGAGCACGGCCGCCGUCGCCUAGAUCUGCCCCGUACGGGCAUCUCCGGCGACACGGCGGACACCUAUAGAUUCCCCUCGUCUCCCUCUACCAUUUCCCCCUAUUUAUUUGAUCGGCCACCACCAAAAACGCCGCCACCACUCAAUCCUAGCGCCGCUCGAUCCAGGUCUGGUGGGCUUGCCACCGGCUGCAGCGGCAACGACGUAUCCAUGCCUACAUCCUCCCCCCAGCGCAGCCACACACACAAGGCGUGCAGCCACGAGCGUCGGGCGCGUGCGGCUUCACCGGCGCUGCUCGGUUGCCAUGGCUUUGCUGCUAACGGUGUGGACUAGCCACAUCCUACUGCUACUACUGCUAAAUAGAUCAAGGUGAAUAGAUGCUCAUGGACUGAUUCAAACCGAGGUGGAGAUAGAUAAGAAGUCAAGCAAGAAGGGCUAACACAACAAGGUACUUGAUAAGUACCUGGUGGCGCAUGCAACCCAAAGAGCUUCACAGCAGUGGAGGAUAGUAGUGUGGCAGAAAGUGAAAAGGCAAGGUGAAAAGGCAGAGGGGUUUCUCUAGCGGAUGAUUGUGUGUGGCCACAGUGAAAGGGAUGACUCCUAUUUAAAGUGGGGUGAACAGCUAUGUCGGUUUGGAGACGCAUUACAUCUGGCAUGCAUGCGUGGUUACUCUUGCAUGCAUGCCUCCACUUGUGUCUCUUGUGGGCUGUAUUAGGGACAAGUGUGAAUUUACUUGGCUGACCAUUAGUUGGCAUUUACUUUGUGUGAGAGAAAUGAGACAAGGGUCUAUAAAAUAUAGGGAGGUUUGUAGAAGAAUUGUUGUGUAUGACUAAAUGCUAUUUCCUGUAAAAAUAUAUUAAAAGUAGUUGUUUCUAUUAUUUUAAUUAAUGUUUAGGCAACGCUGUUGAAAUUAUC